rnacentral:rRNA from 1 species
CCUACGGGGAGCAGCAGUGAGGAAUAUUGGUCAAUGGACGAGAGUCUGAACCAGCCAAGUAGCGUGAAGGAUGACUGCCCUAUGGGUUGUAAACUUCUUUUAUAAAGGAAUAAAACGAGGCACGUGUGCCUUUUUGUAUGUACUUUAUGAAUAAGGAUCGGCUAACUCCGUGCCAGCAGCCGCGGUAAUACGGAGGAUCCGAGCGUUAUCCGGAUUUAUUGGGUUUAAAGGGAGCGUAGAUGGGUUGUUAAGUCAGUUGUGAAAGUUUGCGGCUCAACCGUAAAAUUGCAAUUGAUACUGGCAGUCUUGAGUACAGUUGAGGUAGGCGGAAUUCGUGGUGUAGCGGUGAAAUGCUUAGAUAUCACGAAGAACCCCGAUUGCGAAGGCAGCUUACUAAACUGUGACUGACAUUGAUGCUCGAAAGUGUGGGUAUCAAACAGGAUUAGAUACCCCAGUAGUC